UACGAAGGGGGCUAGCGUUGCUCGGAAUCACUGGGCGUAAAGCGCACGUAGGCGGAUUGUUAAGUCGGGGGUGAAAUCCUGGAGCUCAACUCCAGAACUGCCUUUGAUACUGGGAAGCUUGAGUCCGGAAGAGGUGAGUGGAACUCCGAGUGUAGAGGUGAAAUUCGUAGAUAUUCGGAAGAACACCAGUGGCGAAGGCGGCUCACUGGUCCGGUACUGACGCUGAGGUGCGAAAGCGUGGGGAGCAAACAGG
rnacentral:rRNA from 1 species